GAUGAAGAACGUAGCGAAAUGCGAUAAGUAGUGUGAAUUGCAGAAUUCCGUGAAUCAUCGAAUCUUUGAACGCACAUUGCGCCUCCUGGUAUUCCGGGAGGCAUGCCUGUUCGAGCGUCAUUUCAACCCUCAAGCUCUCCGGAGUUUGGUGUUGGGGCGCCUGGGGCUUUUCGACCUCAGGGCCCUCAAGUCCAUCGGCGGGACCGCCAGGACACUGAGCGCAGUAGUAUUAUUUCGCUCGGUAGGAUCUUCCACGGCGGGUCGAUCUGGCCGCUAAACCCCCCAAUUCUCACCAAAGGUUGACCUCGGAUCAGGUAGGAAUACCCGCUGAACUUAAGCAUAUCAAUAAGCGGAGGA
rnacentral:misc_RNA from 1 species